GACGAACGCUGGCGGCGUGCCUAAUACAUGCAAGUAGAACGCACAGUUUAUACCGUAGCUUGCUACACCAUAGACUGUGAGUUGCGAACGGGUGAGUAACGCGUAGGUAACCUGCCUGGUAGCGGGGGAUAACUAUUGGAAACGAUAGCUAAUACCGCAUAAUAUUAAUUAUUGCAUGAUAAUUAAUUGAAAGGUGCAAUUGCACCACUACCAGAUGGACCUGCGUUGUAUUAGCUAGUAGGUGAGGUAACGGCUCACCUAGGCGACGAUACAUAGCCGACCUGAGAGGGUGAUCGGCCACACUGGGACUGAGACACGGCCCAGACUCCUACGGGAGGCAGCAGUAGGGAAUCUUCGGCAAUGGACGAAAGUCUGACCGAGCAACGCCGCGUGAGUGAAGAAGGUUUUCGGAUCGUAUAGCUCUGUUGUAAGAGAAGAACGGGUGUGAGAGUGGAAAGUUCACACUGUGACGGUAUCUUACCAGAAAGGGACGGCUAACUACGUG
rnacentral:rRNA from 1 species